GGCCAGGUGGCCGAGUGGUUAUGGCGUCAGGUUUAGGUUCGCUUAAAUCCCUGAUUUCGAGAGAUUCCCGCGUUCGAAUCGCGGCCUGGUCA
rfam:Emmonsia parva TAMH 139 supercont1.3297, whole genome shotgun sequence.